rnacentral:rRNA from 1 species
UGGGGAAUUUUGGACAAUGGGCGCAAGCCUGAUCCAGCCAUGCCGCGUGCGGGAAGAAGGCCUUCGGGUUGUAAACCGCUUUUGUCAGGGAAGAAAAGCUCCAGGCCAAUACCUUGGGGUCAUGACGGUACCUGAAGAAUAAGCACCGGCUAACUACGUGCCAGCAGCCGCGGUAAUACGUAGGGUGCAAGCGUUAAUCGGAAUUACUGGGCGUAAAGCGUGCGCAGGCGGUCGUACAAGACAGAUGUGAAAUCCCCGGGCUUAACCUGGGAACUGCAUUUGUGACUGUACGACUGGAGUGCGGCAGAGGGGGAUGGAAUUCCGCGUGUAGCAGUGAAAUGCGUAGAUAUGCGGAGGAACACCGAUGGCGAAGGCAAUCCCCUGGGCCUGCACUGACGCUCAUGCACGAAAGCGUGGGGAGCAAACA